UAGAGAGAGAAACGAGAAGAAGAAGAGGAUCUUCUUCUUGGGUUGUUUGUUUUCAUAUCUUUCCUCCCUCCAUCUUGAGUUUUCUAAGAGCAUCUCAGAUCUAAAACUCCUCCUUCUACUUUUCAUCUUUAGAAGAGUCCAAAUCAAGAAGAAGAAGGUACCUGAUCAACCAUCAAAGAAGGAUCAGCGCAGUACUAGCAUACUGUGUUGAUUUCUUGAAGCAGGACUUCUGAUCG
rnacentral:lncRNA from 1 species